rnacentral:rRNA from 1 species
UGGGUAUAUGGUGGAUGCCUUGGCGCCAGAAGACGAUGAAGGGCGCGGCAAGCUGCGAUAAUCCGCGGGGAGGAGCAAACAUCUUUUGAUCCGCGGGUGCCCGAAUCGGGAAACCGGCCUGUCAUUUGGCAGGCACCCAUGCGCGAAGGCGGGGCCGUCAGGUCCCGCGAUAGCGUAUGAGGAGACAACCAUGGGAAGCGAAACAUCCCAGUACCAUGAGGAAGAGAAAUCAACGAGAUUCCCCCAGUAGUGGCGAGCGAACAGGGAGGAGCCCAAACCGGCGGGAUUCAUUCCGCCGGGGUUGAAGGGUCCGUCCGGUUAAGAGCCGGGAAGUGAAAACCGCGAGACAGCCGAACCCUCUGGAAAGGGGGGCGACACAGGGUGAGAGCCCCGUAGGCGAAGUCAGGGCGGCUUCCGACGGAUGCCUGAGUAGUGCCGGGCACGUGCAAUCCGGCAUGAAUCCGGGGAGACCACUCUCCAAGGCUAAAUACUCUCUGGCGACCGAUAGUGUACAAGUACCGCGAGGGAAAGGCGAAAAGAACCCCGGGAGGGGAGUGAAAUAGAACCUGAAACCGUAUAUCUGCAAACUGUCGUAGCGCUAUGGGCCCGCGAGGGCCAACGCGCGACGGCGUGCCUGUUGAAGAAUGAUCCAGCGAGUUGCGUGGUGCGAGCGAGGUUAAGGGGGAAGUAGACCCCGGAGCCGCAGCGAAAGCGAGUCUGAACAGGGCGUUCAGUUCGUAUCAGCAGACUCGAAGCCAGGUGAUCUAACCCUGUCCAGGGUGAAGCCGCCCUAACCGGCGGUGGAGGCCCGGAGUGUUGAACGUUGAAAAGUUCCUACAUGAGGUGGGGUUAGGGGUGAAAGGCCAAUCGAACCUGGUGAUAGCUAGUUCUCCCCGAAAUAUCUAUAGGGAUAGCGUCGUAUGUUGAACCGCGGGGGUAGAGCACUGAAUGACGUAGGCUGGGCGACCCCUGGUCCGAAAUCAAUCAAACUCCGAAUACCGCGGCGUACCGUACGGCAGUCAGUUCGUGAGGGAAAAGCUUCACGUGCAAGAGAGGAACAGCUCAGACCAUCGGUCUAGGCCCCAAAAUGCAUGCUGAGUGGCAAAGGAUGUGGGUCCACACAAACAGCCAGGAGGUUGGCUUAGAAGCAGCCACCCUUUGAAGAGUGCGUAACAGCUCACUGGUCGAGCGGAUCCGCGCCGAAAAUGACACGGGGCUAAGCAUGCUGCCGCAGCCGUGGAUCUCCGGGACAAGUCCCGGGGGUGGUAGGGGAGCGUUCCCGGGGCGUCGAAGGCAUACCGCAAGGAGUGCUGGAGCGCCGGGAAGAGAGGAUGCUGGAAUAAGUAGCGAUAAACGGGGUGGGAAUCCCCGUCACCGAAAGCCUAAGGGUUCCUUGAGCAACGUUCGUCGGCUCAGGGUCAGUCGGUCCUAAGCCGAGGCCGAAGGGCGUAGGCGAAGGGCAUCCGGUCAACAUUCCGGAACCAUUGGCAGUGCGUCCGCACCUGGGGAGGGACGCGGAAAGCAGCGCGCACCGGCUGGAGGAAUAGCCGGGGAAAGGGGACGCGCCGAGGACACGCAGGCAAAUCCGCGUGUCCGCGGAAGGCGCGCCCGAGACGAGGACGGGAGACCGUCCGAAGCCGCGCGGGCGGGCCGCCCAGAAAAGCUUCGCAGGGAGUGCUGCCGAUGACCGUACCGUAAACCGACACAGGUGGGCGGGUUGAGAAUACUAAGGUGCGCGAGAUAACCUUCGUUAAGGAACUAGGCAAACUGGCCCCGUAACCUCGGAAUAAGGGGCGCCCCUGUAGGGGGCACGUCCGCGAGGGCGUGUUACCGAAAGGGCCGCAGUGAAAUGGGGAUCGUGACUGUUUAACACAAACUUAGGGCUCUGCUGAAAUCGCAAGAUGACGUAUAGGGCCUGAUGCCUGCCCGGUGCCGGAAGGUCAAGGGGAGGGGUCAGCCGCAAGGCGAAGCCUCGAACUCAAGCCCCGGUAAACGGCGGCGGUAACUAUAACCGUCCUAAGGUAGCGAAAUUCCUUGUCGGGUAAGUUCCGACCUGCACGAAUGGCAUAACAAAGAUCCCGCUGUCUCAACGAAGGGCUCGGCGAAAUUGUGGUGCAAGUGAAGACGCUUGCUGCGCGCAGCUAGACGAAAAGACCUCGUGGAGCUUUACUGUAACUUGUCAUUGGCCUACGGCCACGGCCGCGUAGGAUAGGUGGGAGCCUUUGAGCCAGGGUUCGCGGACCCUGGGGAGGCGCCGUUGAAAUACCACCCCUCCUUGGCUGUGGGCCUAACCCCGAAGCCGUGAAACCGGCCGGGGGACAUUGGCAGGCGGGCAGUUUGACUGGGGCGGUCGCCUCCCAAAGAGUAACGGAGGCGCGCAAAGGUCCCCUCAGGGCGGAUAGAAAUCGCCCAUAGAGCGCAAUGGCAGAAGGGGGCUUGACUGCAAGGCCGACGGGCCGAGCAGGUGCGAAAGCAGGCCAUAGUGAUCCGGUGGCGCCUCGUGGGAGGGCCAUCGCUCAACGGAUAAAAGCUACCCCGGGGAUAACAGGCUGAUCUGGUCCAAGAGUCCACAUCGACGACCAGGUUUGGCACCUCGAUGUCGGCUCAUCGCAUCCUCCCGCUGAAGCAGGUGGGAAGGGUUGGGCUGUUCGCCCAUUAAAGCGGUACGUGAGCUGGGUUCAGUACGUCGUGAGACAGUACGGUCUCUAUCUGCUGUGCGCGGAGGAAACUUGAGGGAAGCUGCCCGCAGUACGAGAGGACCCGGGUGGACGCGCCUCCCGUGUGCCUGCUGUCCCGCCAGGGGCAUAGGCAGGAUAGCGGAGCGCGGAAGGGAUAAGCGCUGAAAGCAUAUAAGCGCGAAACCCGUCCCAAGAUAAGGUUUCCCCGGACGAGAGUCCCUGAAGGCCCCCGGUGGACCACCGGGUUGA